AUCUAUCUAUCUCUCUAUAUGUUGGAAAAUACAGUACAGUGGAUGGAAAGAAAGACAGAAAGAAAGAAAAGAGAAGAAGUGGGAAGUUUGUAUCUGUUGUUGUUUGAAUACUGAAUAGAAUAGAAACAGAGUUUUUGUAUUUGUAGUAAAGAAAACUGAAGCAUUACUCUCUUUCCUGUUCCUGCAGGUUUAUUAUCACAAUGCUAACUGGGAUUUGCCGUCUGUGUAUGUAUAGCUUUUUCCACGUGUAUCAUUCAUUCUUUUAAGAUCAAAACAACAA
rnacentral:lncRNA from 1 species